UACAGAGGUCUCAAGCGUUGUUCGGAUUCAUUGGGCGUAAAGGGCGCGUAGGCGGUCCUGAUCGUCGGAUGUGAAAGGCCUGGGCUCAACCUGGGAAUGGCAUCCGAUACUGCGGGGCUGGAGUGUGGGAGAGGGUGGUGGAAUUCCCAGUGUAGAGGUGAAAUUCGUAGAUAUUGGGAAGAACACCGGUGGCGAAGGCGGCCAACUGGACCACAACUGACGCUGAGGCGCGAAAGCGUGGGGAGCAAACAGG
rnacentral:rRNA from 1 species